rnacentral:rRNA from 1 species
UACGAAGGGGGCUAGCGUUGCUCGGAAUGACUGGGCGUAAAGGGCGCGUAGGCGGCAUGUACAGUCAGACGUGAAAUUCCUGGGCUUAACCUGGGGGCUGCGUUUGAUACGUGCAGGCUAGAGUGAGGAAGAGGGUCGUGGAAUUCCCAGUGUAGAGGUGAAAUUCGUAGAUAUUGGGAAGAACACCGGUGGCGAAGGCGGCGACCUGGUCCUUUACUGACGCUGAGGCGCGAAAGCGUGGGGAGCAAACAGG